rnacentral:tRNA from 1 species
AGAGAAUAUUUAUCAAGGAAAGCCGCUAACUAUCCUUAAGUAAUUAAAAUUACUAUUCUCUU